CGAAAGAUUUUGCUGGGCUGCUUCGUGAGUGAAGCCGCGGCUCCCGUCCGUGCCGGCGGCGGGCGGCGCGACGGCGACGCGCAGGGCCGCCCCCCAGCUUCUGCGCCCCGGGGCGGCAGAACCUCUACGCAUCGGACGAACGCAGGGGCUAUCUAGGGAGAAAUGCUAGUUGUACAAACUAGUGUUCUAGUUGCAUCCACAUUGUCUCUUUCAGCAAGCCAAGAUCUCUCGUUCAUUUGAUGAGGGGAGCUGUGUGGUGCUCAAUCUAUUGCCUAAGCCGAGAUAUAUUGGCACCUGAAAGAUCCUAGCUUGCAGCUCGACGGACGGGCUGGUACAGAAGGGGACAGGGAAAGGGGAAGAGACAACGUGUGUGUCCAGGAAUAUUCACCCAAUUGAGUGACUCUACGAGGCUGAAGAUGUAAAAUGUUCCUGCAACCAUCUUGUCCUACAUCUCGUCCAUUUGUUGUCCACCCAGCGGCCCAUAAUCAACUGAUGCAUCUGGUGUACCCAUUGAUGCGUUGCACAUGAUACACUCUUCUCGGCACUCCCUUGCCUUCUAUAUGCCAAAGGAUUUUUCUUCUUCUGCUCUGAUGAUAGUAUAUUAUUGUGUUUCUUUAUUAAUUUUUAUUGGACCAUUUGAAAUGAACCCCGUCACAAGAGUGCUCCUCCAACCGUCUCAACAACAUCAAACUCGAACCGAAACUUUGGGUUGCCACUGGGGCCAACAAACAAGGGAAUAUAAUACCAGGAUAGUGAUGAUCUUUUUGUAAUAAGUGGCAUAUGUCCUCAUGUGCAUCGUGUAAACCAAAGUCUAUUCCCUUACUCGGAUGAGGCAAAUCUUAAUCGGAUGAGGCAAAUCUUAUCCUUUGUUCUUCA